ensembl:snRNA U6 U6 spliceosomal RNA
AUGCUCACUUUGGCAGUACAUAUGUUAAAAUUGGAAUGAUACAGAGAUUAGCAUGGCCCCUGCACAAGGAUGACAGGCAAAUUUGUGAAGUAUUCCAUGAUUUU